rnacentral:rRNA from 1 species
UUACCCGCAUAUUUCCCCUUUUUUUUUUUCCCCCCUGAUUCCAUAAUCCCCCGCCGGAGUUUCAUCAAUCCCCCUAUCCACUUUGGGGUAGGAUCAGGCCCGUGGACGGGACAAAUGAUUAGGGCUCCACGGAGAGGGAGCCUACGGCCACC